rnacentral:ncRNA from 28 species
CGGCGCUUCACGCUGCAAGGUGUCCCGCCGGGAGGAUCAAUCCCGCGGGAUGAAACGGGAAACAGGUGCGUGGCGAGGCCAUCUUGGCGUCGCCGCAAUCCCUGUACUGCCCCCGCAACGGUAAGCGAGGCGGCGCACACCCCGGCCACUGCGAAGCUCUACGUCUUCGCGGGAAGGCCGUGCGCCUGGCGGAUCCAAUCCGCUACUCGCGAGUCCGGAGACCGGCCUUGCCGCGCUUUCUCAAC